AUUGAACGCUGGCGGCAGGCUUAACACAUGCAAGUCGAGCGGAGAUGAGGUGCUUGCACCUUAUCUUAGCGGCGGACGGGUGAGUAAUGCUUAGGAAUCUGCCUAUUAGUGGGGGACAACAUUCCGAAAGGAAUGCUAAUACCGCAUACGUCCUACGGGAGAAAGCAGGGGAUCUUCGGACCUUGCGCUAAUAGAUGAGCCUAAGUCGGAUUAGCUAGUUGGUGGGGUAAAGGCCUACCAAGGCGACGAUCUGUAGCGGGUCUGAGAGGAUGAUCCGGCACACUGGGACUGAGACGCGGCCCAGACUCCUACGGGAGGCAGCAGUGGGGAAUAUUGGACAAUGGGGGGAACCCUGAUCCAGCCAUGCCGGGUGUGUGAAGAAGGCCUUAUGGUUGUAAAGCACUUUAAGCGAGGAGGAGGCUACUGAGACUAAUACUCUUGGAUAGUGGACGUUACUCGCAGAAUAAGCACCGGCUAACUCUGUGCCAGCCGCCGCAGUAACAC
rnacentral:rRNA from 1 species